rnacentral:tRNA from 1 species
GUCUCGGUAGUCUAAAGGCUUAGGACGCUCGCACGGAAUGCAAGAGAUCCGGGUUCGAGUCCCGGCCGAGGCA